rnacentral:lncRNA from 1 species
CUAAGAAAGCUAGGCGUACGGGUGGGAGGCGUCCUAGGGUGGCAAACGAUGAGGAACGGAGGGAAGAGUCCUCCGCGCCGUCUCCUCCGGUUGCUCCGCCAACCGUGACCCCCUCCUGUGCGAAUCGCACAGUAACCACAGGUAGAUACAUCGAUUUUCAUUUCCUAGCUAGUGAGGGGUUCUCUAUUGGAGAGAGACUCCGUGCCCAAGGUUGGAAACACCUAUGUUCCCUAAAUAUAUCAACCUAUCCCGGCCUAAUGAGAGAAAUCUUU